rnacentral:lncRNA from 1 species
AUGCGAGGACUGCUGCUGAAUAGAAAUAGGAAAGCGGGAAGGCUUCUCAGCUGGGCAGGGAGCUCUGCCACACUGGCCCCUUCCUCCUGCUCGGGCUGGAUCAGAAGCAAGGUACAGCAGUCAUGUCAUGCCUGGCUUCGUCUGUUUAUUUCAACAGUCCUUGUCCCACCAAAAACUGGAGGUAGAGCCAUUAGGAGAAUCAAGCAAAAUGCAGGUGUUAGCCUUAGAUGUGGCAGAACAGCAGUUCCAAAGGGAAAAAACCUCCUUCUGAGCCAAAUUCCUUGCUGUUUGAUGUGCAAAGAUCUCCGAUAAGAUCUCAACACCAAGACUCUGCCUGUCUCCCUGCACAGCAGUUAGAAAGAUGCUAUUACCAUUUUAAUCGAAUUAAGCAUUCCUCCUGUGAUCCUUGGAUUUUUUCAGCCCUCCGCACCACGGUGCUUAGCCCCUUGCACCAGCUGCUCUGCCUCCUUUUUCUCUGAGUUAGUUGCAGUUCAUCACUUUGCAUAAUAUGUAGUUUGUAAAGCACUUUACAGUGACAGGCACUUGCGGUGAUUUUACUCUAGCCUAAUUCCAUCAGCUGCAGUAGUGCUGUUCCUAGCUUUGCUGAAACAAGAUCAGAAUUUGACCUCAAAACACCCCAGUGAGAGCAACAUUAUUUAUACUUAUUUUGUAGAAGGAGAAAUUGAAACACCGAGAGUUUAAGUGACUUGCCUGAAGGCAUGAAGCUUCUCAGUGCCAUAGCGGAGACUCAGAUGCAUGAAUCCAGAAGCCACUGUCCUUGCUGUAAAUGACAGAUGGACUUUGAAAUCAGGAUUGUGCUCAGAUGGAAAAAAUCUACUAACAUCCAUGGGCUUACAAAACUAGUUUAAGCCGUGGAAGAGUCAGGCCUCUGCCUACUUUCUCCGAGCUCUAAGUGUGACAGUUGCUUACAGAAGAGGGAAAAUCCUCUUUGAAAAGGAGAGUUCUGCAGGUUUGGAAACUGUCCAGCAACAGAAAGCCAGUUCUUACCUUCUCCCUUCAUAACAGAACACCACACUGUGGAGAGUAUAGUUUAAAAAGCAAAACAAAAACAAAUAACACAGAAAACUACCAAAGAAAAACAUAUGCCAAGUUUAAUUUCAUAAUUUUCUUUUUUCUUUUUCCCUAUUUGUAAUUAAAUGCUUAAUUUAUAAAGGUUUAUUAUAACAUUGCAAUUGUGUAUUCCUCUAUCUGAGAAACUCAGCGGAUCUUCUUCCCUGGGACUGUUGCAGUGACAUUACCAUACGCAGGAGACAGAUCAAACUUUUAAGACUAGCAAUCUCAUGGGUACUAA